GAUGUAUUAAGAGAACGGGUUGAAUAAGGUGAGACGUGCAGUGCCGUCUUGUUUCCGGCAUUGGACGCCCGUGUUUCUUUAUUUUAUAGUCAAACGGUUUGACUAUAAAAUAACUGUCUGUCUAGACAAUAUAAGAAACCCGCAGUUACAUUAGUAAACAAACAUUUGCCCGGAAGUUGUUGGUACGACCCGUAAUACCGUCCGUCCCCGGAACUAACGUUAACUGUUUGUGUGUCACAUCGUGGUGAGGACGGCGGAGUAAAACGCGCCAGUGUUUAGUUUCUUAAGAAGAAAGAAAGGUCCCAAACUGCAGGAUGUGGUUUUAAAAGCUGAAACAAAGCUACACAGAGCAGAUCGCAGAGCCGCGAGGAACUUUAACAUGAAGUCUGAGAGGAAGCUGUCAGCGGACCAGGGGACAGUAGGCUAGAACCGGGCCUGGUGUUGAAUCUACUCCGAAGUAGCAAUGCAGGACGUGUGAAUGCAGCCUAAAGCAGUUUUCAACAGCUUUAUCUCAAGAUGUUCUGGAAGUGAUUGUUGGUGAAGAGGAGCAGCAGGAGUGUAGCGCCAGUGUGGACCAGCAGGAGCCAGAGCCCCCCCCACACAUUAAAGAGGAACAGGAGGAACUAUGGAGCA